AGCGGCGGAUGGGUGAGUAACACGUGGGGAACCUGCCCCUAAGUCUGGGAUACCAUUUGGAAACAGGUGCUAAUACCGGAUAAUAAAGCAGAUCGCAUGAUCAGCUUUUGAAAGGCGGCGUAAGCUGUCGCUAAGGGAUGGCCCCGCGGUGCAUUAGCUAGUUGGUAAGGUAACGGCUUACCAAGGCGACGAUGCAUAGCCGAGUUGAGAGACUGAUCGGCCACAUUGGGACUGAGACACGGCCCAAACUCCUACGGGAGGCAGCAGUAGGGGAUCUUCCACAAUGGACGCAAGUCUGAUGGAGCAACGCCGCGUGAGUGAAGAAGGUUUUCGGAUCGUAAAGCUCUGUUGUUGGUGAAGAAGGAUAGAGGUAGUAACUGGCCUUUAUUUGACGGUAAUCAACCAGAAAGUCACGGCUAACUACGUGCCAGCAGCCACGGUAAUACGUAGGUGGCAAGCGUUGUCCGGAUUUAUUGGGCGUAAAGCGAGCGCAGGCGGAAAAAUAAGUCUAAUGUGAAAGCCCUCGGCUUAACCGAGGAACUGCAUCGGAAACUGUUUUUCUUGAGUGCAGAAGAGGAGAGUGGAACUCCAUGUGUAGCGGUGGAAUGCGUAGAUAUAUGGAAGAACACCAGUGGCGAACGCGGCUCUCUGGUCUGCAACUGACGCUGAGGCUCGAAAGCAUGGGUAGCGAACAGGAUUAGAUACCCUGGUAGUCCAUGCCGUAAACGAUGAGU
rnacentral:rRNA from 1 species